rnacentral:rRNA from 1 species
GAUGAACGCUGGCGGCGUGCCUAAUACAUGCAAGUCGAGCGAAUGGAUUAAGAGCUUGCUCUUAUGAAGUUAGCGGCGGACGGGUGAGUAACAUGUGGGUAACCUGCCCAUAAGACUGGGAUAACUCCGGGAAACCGGGGCUAAUACCGGAUAACAUUUUGAACCGCAUGGUUCGAAAUUGAAAGGCGGCUUCGGCUGUCACUUAUGGAUGGACCCGCGUCGCAUUAGCUAGUUGGUGAGGUAACGGCUCACCAAGGCAACGAUGCGUAGCCGACCUGAGAGGGUGAUCGGCCACACUGGGACUGAGACACGGCCCAGACUCCUACGGGAGGCAGCAGUAGGGAAUCGUCCGCAAUGGACGAAAGUCUGACGGAGCAACGCCGCGUGAGUGAUGAAGGCUUUCGGGUCGUAAAACUCUGUUGUUAGGGAAGAACAAGUGCUAGUUGAAUAAGCUGGCACCUUGACGGUACCUAACCAGAAAGCCACGGCUAACUACGUGCCAGCCGCCGCGGUAA